rnacentral:rRNA from 1 species
UACGUAGGGUCCGAGCGUUGUCCGGAAUUACUGGGCGUAAAGAGCUCGUAGGUGGUUUGUCGCGUUGUUCGUGAAAACUCACAGCUCAACUGUGGGCGUGCGGGCGAUACGGGCAGACUUGAGUACUGCAGGGGAGACUGGAAUUCCUGGUGUAGCGGUGAAAUGCGCAGAUAUCGGGAGGAACACCGGUGGCGAAGGCGGGUCUCUGGGCAACAACUGACGCUGAGGAGCGAAAGCGUGGGGAGCGAACAGG